CCCUUAGACGUUCUGGGCCGCACGCGCGCUACACUGACCAGUGCAACAAGCAUCCGUCCUUGGCCGACAGGCCCGGGCAAUCUUUGAACGCUGGUCGUGAUGGGGAUAGACUUUUGCAAUUAUGGGUCUUCAACGAGGAAUUCCUAGUAAACGCAAGUCAUCAGCUUGCAUUGAUUACGUCCCUGCCCUUUGUACACACCGCCCGUCGCGCCUACCGAUUGAAUGGUCCGGUGAAAUCUCGGGACGGCGGCUUGGUCGCUUGCGUCCGACUGCUGAAACUUGAUUAAACCAUAUCAUUUAGAGGAAGGUGAAGUCGUAACA
rnacentral:rRNA from 1 species